UUUGGAUGCCUUGGCAGCGAACACGAGGUAACACAACAAUACGAUCAUCGCCGGAUAAUCGUACGAAUCCGGAUUCCCGGAAGUGUCUAUUUCGACACCGGAACCCUCCGUCGCUCACCUAUCAUCAUCGAACCCACAAAAUGAUGAUGGUGACCAGCCAACAAGGCUCAGCGACAAAACACGAAGCAACCAAACACCGUCGGAAAGAAUCCGAACCGAAACCGCGUUCUUUCGGCGAAUUUCGCCGAAAAACGCACCAAAAUUGACUUUUCAAUUUCCGCAAA
rnacentral:lncRNA from 1 species